GUUCCAGGUCGUCUAAUGGUCAGGACAGUCUUAUCUCAGGACUGGUCGGGGUUCAAUUCCUCGCCUGGGCG